AGUGGAUGGGGAGCAACCUAGUUGUGCGUGUGUAAAGGUAGUGCCAGGAAAAGCGAUGAUCAUGUUGAAAAUCAAUUCCCGGUACCCGAAACCGACACAGGUGGGCAAGUAGAGAAUACUAAGGGGCGCGAGGUAACUCUCUCCAAGGAACUCGGCAAAAUGACCCCGUAACUUAGGGAGAAGGGGUGCCACCGAGAGGUGGUCGCAGUGAAGAGGCCCAGGCGACUGUUUAGCAAAAACAUAGGUCUCUGCAAACUCGAAAGAGGAGGUAUAGGGGCUGACGCCUGCCCAGUGCCGGAAGGUUAAAGAAGUUGGUUAGUUUCGACGAAGCUAGCGACGGAAGCCCCGGUGAACGGCGGCCGUAACUAUAACGGUCCUAAGGUAGCGAAAUCCCUUGUCGGGUAAGUUCCGACCCGCACGAAAGGCGUAACGAUCUGGGCUCUGUCUCGGAGAGAGGCUCGGCGAAAUAGGAUUGUCUGUGAGGAUACGGACUACCUGCAUUUGGACAGAAAGACCCUAUGAAGCAGGAAUAUAGCUUGGAAUUGUGUUCGGGCUUCCUGUGCGCAGGAUAGGUGGGAGGCGUAGAAGGUAUUCUUGUGGGGAUACUGGAGCCAACGGUGAGAUACCACUCUCAGGAGGCUAGAAUUCUAACUUAAUUAAGGACAGUUUCAGGUGGGUAGUUUGACUGGGGCGGUCGCCUCCAAAAAGGUAACGGAGGCGUACAAAGGUUCCCUCAGACUGGUUGGAAAUCAGUCGAAGAGUGCAAAGGCAGGAGGGAGCUUGACUGCGAGAAGUACAGUUCGAGCAGGGUGGAAACACGGUCUUAGUGAUCCGACGGUGCUGUGUGGAAGGGCCGUCGCUCAACGGAUAAAAGUUACUCUAAGGAUAACAGGCUGAUCUCCCCCAAGAGUUCACAUCGACGGGGAGGUUUGGCACCUCGAUGUCGGCUCAUCGCAACCUGGGGCGGAAGUACGUCCCAAGGGUUGGGCUGUUCGCCCAUUAAAGCGGUACGUGAGCUGGGUUCAGAACGUCGUGAGACAGUUCGGUCCAUAUCCGAUGUAGGCGUGAGAAUAUUGAGAGGAGCCUUCCUUAGUACGAGAGGACCGGGAAGGACGCACCGCUGGUGUACCUGUUAUGAUGCCAAUUGUAAACGCAGGGUAGCCAAGUGCGGAGAGGAUAACCGCUGAAAGCAUCUAAGUGGGAAGCCCACCUCAAGAUGAGUAUUCUGGUGUAAGGUCACGGGAAGACGACCCGUAAAUAGGCACGAGGUGGAAGUGCAGAGAUGUAUGAAGCCGAAGUGUACUAAUAGACCGUCGGCUUGACC
rnacentral:rRNA from 1 species